UCCCAGUUAGUACAAUGGUCAGUAUAGGGCACUCUCAAGUCUCGGUGAUUUCCAAGUCACCAAGUGCUGCUCAGAUCAGGGUUCGAUUCCCUGGCCGGGAA